UCUUCAGGUGUGAUAGGACCGGUUGGGUUCCUGCUGGUAACAGGGAGUAGUAGCUGCAUGGAUUGUGAUAGCAUUUGAUCCUUUUUUUGUGUGUUUAGGUGAGUAAUGGUCCAGAUGAUAGGGUGUGAUCGUGUAAUUUUCUGUCAUGCAACACGUUUGUAUUGGCUACCGUAUAACACAAUUAUUUUCGUGUACAGGAGAAAAAGCAAAGCAAUGGAAGUAAUCCUGUUGUAUCCCGCCUGCUGUACUGGUGGAACUGUGGAGCUCACUAGGACUGGGAACUGAGAGAAGGCGGAGAUAGGUGCAUUGCACAAGCUUGAGUUUGUUGUGCGGUUGUCAGGCACGAUGGAAGGUUUGGUUCCUGAUAAUAGAUUGAUCAGUUCAGGGAUCAGUUGAAAGAGGGAGCUGUUUACACUAUUGAGCGAUUUGAUUUGUACAAUCAUAAGAAGAGAUAUAGGUCGGUCGAUCAUCCUUUGAAGAUCUUCUUUACUCGAAGGACUCUUCUGACAGAAGUGGUGCCUCCGCCAGAGUUUUCCUGUAUUUGCGUAUACUGCUCUCCCAUUUUAGUAUGCUGUCAGAGUGCAUCGAUCAGAAUACAGUGUUAUCUGGUGAGAAUGUGGAUAUUUCCAUCAUUGUUUCAUUCUUGUGUGCCCCAUAUUGCCUAUAAAGUUUGGUUUGUGUCGUGGUAAUUUACUUGAUCUAUAUGUAUUUAUAGAUGUCGUUGGUUUGGUGAACAAGGUCGCUAAUGUAUUACCUCCUUAUGGGAAUGCUAGGAGCUAGAAGCGGCAGGUGUACAUCACAGAUGGAAGGUGCAUACGGCAGCUUUUUUUAAAAUAAAUACUUGCCUCUUAAUUGUUAUCUGACUUACUUAUGUUGUUUCAUGGAGCAGUCAUGUUGUUGUUACCUUGUGGGGGGAGCAAGCUGAUUUAUUUGAUGCUGGUGGAUUGAUGGAGGCAUGACAGUUAGUUAGUACUCAGCGACAAACCUCUUGUGGUGUCAAGGAAUGGUUGCCGAUGACAAUUCUUUUUUG